AAACGACUCUCGGCAACGGAUAUCUCGGCUCUCGCAUCGAUGAAGAACGUAGCGAAAUGCGAUACUUGGUGUGAAUUGCAGAAUCCCGUGAACCAUCGAGUCUUUGAACGCAAGUUGCGCCCGAGGCCUCUUGGUCGAGGGCACGUCUGCCUGGGUGUCACGC
rnacentral:rRNA from 16 species